rnacentral:rRNA from 1 species
UCGUGUCGUGAGAUGUUGGGUUAAGUCCCGCAACGAGCGCAACCCUCACCUCUUGUUGCCAUCAGGUGACGCUGGGCACUCUAGGAGAACUGCCCCGGUCAACGGGGAGGAAGGUGGGGAUGACGUCAAGUCAUCAUGCCCCUUACGCCCUGGGCUACACACGUGCUACAAUGGCCGGUACAAAGGGAUGCGAGACCGCGAGGUGGAGCCAAACCCAAAAAGCCGGUCUAAGUUCAGAUUGGAGUCUGCAACUCGACUCCAUGAAGGAGGAAUCGCUAGUAAUCGC